GCAUGGUUCAAUGGUAGAACAGCGGUCUCCAAAACCGUUAACGAGGGUUCGAUUCCUUCUGCU
rnacentral:tRNA from 1 species